rnacentral:rRNA from 1 species
UACGUAGGGUGCAAGCGUUGUCCGGAAUUAUUGGGCGUAAAGAGCUCGUAGGCGGUUUGUCGCGUCGGCUGUGAAAACUCGGGGCUCAACCCCCGAGCCUGCAGUCGAUACGGGCAGACUAGAGUGCUGUAGGGGAGACUGGAAUUCCUGGUGUAGCGGUGAAAUGCGCAGAUAUCAGGAGGAACACCGAUGGCGAAGGCAGGUCUCUGGGCCGAUACUGACGCUGAGGAGCGAAAGCGUGGGGAGCGAACAGG